rnacentral:tRNA from 1 species
GCCUGGCUGGCUCCGUCAGAUAGAGCAUGUGACUCUUGAUCUCGUGGUUGUGAGUUCAAGCCCCACUUUGGGCA